rnacentral:tRNA from 1 species
CCCCGGUUAGUUCAGGGGGUCGAGCGUUCCACUGGAAUUGGAAAGGUUCUGGGUUUGAUACCCGGACGAGGGG